rnacentral:rRNA from 1 species
AACGAACGCUGGCGGCAUGCCUAACACAUGCAAAUCGAACGAGACCUUCGGGUCUAGUGGCGCACGGGUGCGUAACGCGUGGGAACCUGCCCUUAGGUUCGGAAUAACUCCCCGAAAGGGGUGCUAAUACCGGAUAAUGUCUUCGGACCAAAGAUUUAUCGCCUUUGGAUGGGCCCGCGUUGGAUUAGCUAGUUGGUAGGGUAAAAGCCUACCAAGGCGACGAUCCAUAGCUGGUCUGAGAGGAUGAUCAGCCACACUGGGACUGAGACACGGCCCAGACUCCUACGGGAGGCAGCAGUGGGGAAUAUUGGACAAUGGGCGAAAGCCUGAUCCAGCAAUGCCGCGUGAGUGAUGAAGGCCUUAGGGUUGUAAAGCUCUUUUACCCGGGAUGAUAAUGACAGUACCGGGAGAAUAAGCUCCGGCUAACUCCGUG